UCAAACUUGGUCAUUUAGAGGAAGUAAAAGUCGUAACAAGGUUUCCGUAGGUGAACCUGCGGAAGGAUCAUUAAAGAUUGGCCGAGAGGCCUUAUCUCUAUAUCCCACACCUCUGUGAACCGUUGACCCUCGGGUCUAUCUAUACAAACAUCAGUGUAAUGAACGUAAAUAACAUUAACAAAACAAAACUUUCAACAACGGAUCUCUUGGCUCUCAGAGACAGUCAAACUUGGUCAUUUAGAGGAAGUAAAAGUCGUAACAAGGUUUCCGUAGGUGAACCUGCGGAAGGAUCAUUAAAGAUUGGCCGAGAGGCCUUAUCUCUAUAUCCCACACCUCUGUGAACCGUUGACCCUCGGGUCUAUCUAUACAAACAUCAGUGUAAUGAACGUAAAUAACAUUAACAAAACAAAACUUUCAACAACGGAUCUCUUGGCUCUCGCAUCGAUGAAGAACGCAGC
rnacentral:misc_RNA from 1 species